AGAGCGAACGCUGGCGGCAGGCUUAACACAUGCAAGUCGAGCGGGCGUAGCAAUACGUCAGCGGCAGACGGGUGAGUAACGCGUGGGAACAUACCUUUUGGUUCGGAACAACACAGGGAAACUUGUGCUAAUACCGGAUAAGCCCUUACGGGGAAAGAUUUAUCGCCGAAAGAUUGGCCCGCGUCUGAUUAGCUAGUUGGUGAGGUAACGGCUCACCAAGGCGACGAUCAGUAGCUGGUCUGAGAGGAUGAUCAGCCACAUUGGGACUGAGACACGGCCCAAACUCCUACGGGAGGCAGCAGUGGGGAAUAUUGGACAAUGGGCGCAAGCCUGAUCCAGCCAUGCCGCGUGAGUGAUGAAGGCCCUAGGGUUGUAAAGCUCUUUUGUGCGGGAAGAGUAAUGACGGUACCGCAAGAAUAAGCCCCGGCUAACUUCGUGCCAGCAGCCGC
rnacentral:rRNA from 1 species